CUUUACUGCAACUUGACGUUGGAACUUGGCUGUAUUUGUGUAGGAUAGGUGGGAGACUUUGAAGCAGGGCCGCCAGGUCUUGCGGAGUCGUCGUUGAAAUACCACCCUGGUGCUGACGAGUUUCUAACCGUGUCCGUAAGCCGGACAUGAGACAGCGUCUGGUGGGCAGUUUGACUGGGGCGGUCGCCUCCUAAAAGGUAACGGAGGCAUUCAAAGGUCCCCUCAGCGUGGUCGGUAAUCACGCGCAGAGUGCAAACGCAUAAGGGGGCUUAACUGUGAGACCGACAGGUCGAGCAGGUACGAAGGUAGGAGUGAGUGAUCCCGCGGUUUAGCGUGGAAUUGCCGUUGCUCAAUGGAUAAAAGGUA
rnacentral:rRNA from 1 species